rnacentral:rRNA from 1 species
UAGGUUUUUUUUUAUUUUAUUUUUUGGUAUUGCAUACCAGCAUAAGAUUUUAUCAUUGGUAAAUGAAUAAUAGAAUUUAAAUGUUAAGGAAGAAUUUGUUUUUUUUUUUACGAAAUUAAUAAUAUUUUUCUUGGUAUUGAUAUAACGUAUUUAUAUUUCUGUUUUUUUUGUAAUAUGGUUUAAGUUAUAUUUUUGUUUUAUGUGGUGUUUUAGUUUUUUUGUUUAUUUUUGAAUUGUGUUUUGGUAAAUUUUUUUUUUUUUUUUUUUUUUUUAAGUUGAUUUUUCAACUUAUUUAUAGUUUUUGCUUUAGUAUUUUUUUGUGUUAUGUUGUUUUUGUUUUUUAAUUUUUUUUAUUGAACUGGAUUUGUUGUUAAAUGUUUAUUAAAAACUUAGGUUUUUUUUUAAAGUUGUCUUCUGCUCUAUGAUUUAUUAAAUGGCAGCCUUAGCGUGAUGGCAUAAAAGUAGCGUAAGUGAUUUGUUUUUUUAAUGGUUUCAAGUAUGAAUGGAGUUUUUAACAGUUUUUUUGUUUUUAUUUAAUUUGAAUUAUUUUUUUUGUUAAAAAUUAUUGGUUGUAAUAUUACAAAGAUAAGUCUUCGGAAAUUUUUUUCUUGUUUUAAAUUUUGUUUUUUUAUUUUUUGGAUGUUUCUUGGGGAUAGGUUUUAUAAAAUUUUUUUUUACUAUUUUUAUUUUUAAAAAUUACUCCGGAGUUAACAGGGUUGUAGAUACAUAAGUAGUUUUUAUAUUAUUGUACUGCACUACAUCGAUGUUGUAUAUUUUUUGUGAUUGGAGAGAGAGGUUAUUUUUUUUGAGACUGUUCUUCUUUUAUAAAAAUUUAACUUGAUAUUAGUUUAGUUCGUCGUGAGACAGAGCGGUUUAUCUUGUAUAUUUUUUGUUUUUGUUGGGGCUAGUACGAAAGGAAAGUUACGGGGAUUAAUAUAUAUGAUCUUUUUAUUUUUAUGG